CGUUGACGUACAAUGAAAAAGAGAAAGGGAAUUGUAACCUGGUGAGUUCAGCCAGCUUGAAGAAGACCUGGACUACUGAGUGAGCAAGGAUCAACACUGAAGAUCACAAUACAGUCCUUUGUCUCCUGGUAUUCAAAAGACUGCUGCUGAAUUAAAAAAAAAUUAAUUUGGUGAAUGUGAUGACUAAAAAGUUGUAGAUAAGAUUUUCAAGGGUAUUAAGUAAAAAAGAAUAUUGCUGAUUUGAA
rnacentral:lncRNA from 1 species